rnacentral:rRNA from 1 species
GUCAAGAGGAAAACAAUCCAGACCGCCAGCUAAGGCCCCAAAAUCAUAGUUAAGUGGGAAACGAUGUGGGAAGGCAUAGACAGCUAGGAGGUUGGCUUAGAAGCAGCCACCCUUUAAAGAAAGCGUAAUAGCUCACUAGUCGAGUCGGCCUGCGCGGAAGAUGUAACGGGGCUAAAACUAUGUGCCGAAGCUGCGGAUGUAUACUUUGUAUACGUGGUAGGGGAGCGUUCUGUAAGCCGAUGAAGGUGUGUUGAGAAGCAUGCUGGAGGUAUCAGAAGUGCGAAUGCUGACGUGAGUAACGACAAAACGGGUGAAAAACCCGUUCGCCGAAAGACCAAGGGUUCCAGUCCAACGUUAAUCGGGGCUGGGUGAGUCGACCCCUAAGGCGAGGCCGAAAGGCGUAGUCGAUGGGAAAAUGGUUAAUAUUCCAUUACUUCUGUGUAAUGCGAUGAGAGGACGGAGAAGGCUAAAUCAGCCUGGCGUUGGUUGUCCAGGUGAAAGGAUGUAGGCAUGUAUCUUAGGCAAAUCCGGGGUACUCUAUGCUGAGAUCUGAUAGCAAGCUGUACUUGUACAGCGAAGUGGUUGAUGCCAUGCUUCCAGGAAAAGUCUCUAAGCUUCAGUUACACAGGAAUCGUACCCGAAACCGACACAGGUGGUCAGGUCGAGUAGACCAAGGCGCUUGAGAGAACUCUGCUGAAGGAACUAGGCAAAAUGGUACCGUAACUUCGGGAGAAGGUACGCUGUUGUUGGUGAUGGAACUCGCUUCCUGAGCUGACGACAGCCGCAGAAACCAGGCCGCUGCAACUGUUUAUUAAAAACAUAGCACUCUGCAAACACGAAAGUGGACGUAUAGGGUGUGAUGCCUGCCCGGUGCUGGAAGGUUAAUUGAUGGGGUUAGCGUAAGCGAAGCUCUUGAUCGAAGCCCCAGUAAACGGCGGCCGUAACUAUAACGGUCCUAAGGUAGCGAAAUUCCUUGUCGGGUAAGUUCCGACCUGCACGAAUGGCAUAAUGAUGGCGGCGCUGUCUCCAGCAGAGGCUCAGUGAAAUCGAAAUCGCUGUGAAGAUGCAGUGUACCCGCGGCUAGACGGAAAGACCCCGUGAACCUUUACUGCAGCUUGACACUGAACUUUGACCUUACUUGUGUAGGAUAGGUGGGAGGCUUUGAAGCUGGAACGCUAGUUCCAGUGGAGCCGUCCUUGAAAUACCACCCUGGUAAUGUUGAGGUUCUAACUCUGUCCCGUGAUCCGGGACGAGGACCGUGUCUGGUGGGUAGUUUGACUGGGGCGGUCUCCUCCUAAAGAGUAACGGAGGAGUACGAAGGUGCGCUCAGCGUGGUCGGAAAUCACGCGUAGAGUAUAAAGGCAAAAGCGCGCUUAACUGCGAGACCCACAAGUCGAGCAGGUACGAAAGUAGGUCUUAGUGAUCCGGUGGUUCUGUAUGGAAGGGCCAUCGCUCAACGGAUAAAAGGUACUCUGGGGAUAACAGGCUGAUACCGCCCAAGAGUUCAUAUCGACGGCGGUGUUUGGCACCUCGAUGUCGGCUCAUCUCAUCCUGGGGCUGAAGCAGGUCCCAAGGGUAUGGCUGUUCGCCAUUUAAAGAGGUACGCGAGCUGGGUUUAGAACGUCGUGAGACAGUUCGGUCCCUAUCUACCGUGGGCGCUGGAAAUUUGAGAGGAUCUGCUCCUAGUACGAGAGGACCAGAGUGGACGAACCUCUGGUGUACCGGUUGUGACGCCAGUCGCAUCGCCGGGUAGCUAUGUUCGGAAGGGAUAACCGCUGAAAGCAUCUAAGCGGGAAGCCUACCUCAAGAUAAGAUUUCCCUAGGACUUUAUGUCCUCUAAAGAGCCGUUCGAGACUAGGACGUUGAUAGGUUGGAUGUGGAAGCAUAGUGAUAUGUGAAGCUGACCAAUACUAAUUGCUCGUGAGGCUUGACUAUACAACACCCAAGCAGUUG